UUUACAUUAAUUACACAGGUUAAUUAAUGUUAGCAUUGUAAUUUGAGACUAAUCGCUACUAUUAAUCACGGAUUAAGGUAUACAUUGGAUAAGACUUGAAACAGUCCUCGUACGUACGUUGGAACUUUGAAAGUUAGUUGAGGAAGCCAAGACUGUUAGAGAUUUUUUUUUUUUUGGUUGACUUGAAUAAAUUGUUCCAACAAAAAAAAGUUAUUCAUAUCUUCAUGUCUUAAAACAAAUUAAUCACAAAUGGUAAGUUGGUAGUAUUCGUGAUUGCAUUUGAUAUCAAACAAAAAGUUAUUGAGAGUCUGAGACCGGAGGUACUCUAUUCCCACUUGAAACACUAUUUUGCUCCGAAAUAUAAUAAUUUUAGCAAGUAAAAAAGAAGAAGAUAAAAAUAGAAAAUAAAAAAUAAAAAUUUAAGUAUCAAAAAAAAUAAUAAUAAUUUUAACCUUAGUUUCUUCCUCGCACUGAUCUUUGGUGAAUUCUAUAUAAUUGGCUGAAAAAACAUUUUUUGUCAAAAAGAUUGGCUGAAAAGCAUCUAUAUAACACUGUAUUUGUUAUUUUAAUAAAAUGAAGAAAGGAUACAAGAAAGCUAAAAUAUAUUUUUGUUUGGAAAGAAAAAGACGAGAAAGAGAGUAUGGUGGACCAAAGAACAGGUUUAUAAACAUCAAUAUGUGGUUACAGGAGUCCAAUCUAAUAGAUAUUAUUGAAAAACCAAUCACAUUUCAUAUUUCAUCUCCU
rnacentral:lncRNA from 1 species